GGCAGUUUCUGGAGCCCAGUGGCUAGGCUGUUUUUAAGUUGGCAAGUUCAGUGAGGCUGUCUCCAAAACUAAGGUGGGAAGAAACUGGGGAAGAAGAUGUUACAUGUCAGCCUCUAGCCUCCCUACAACGUGAGUGCACACUAGAGCACGCAAGCACACACUAGAGCACGUGAGUGCACACUAGAGCGCGAGAGCGCACACGCACGCGCACACAGGCAGGUUUAGGGCUGGCUGAGGAUGCUGCAGAGACUGGGCCAGUCCAAGUGCCCCUUCCCAGAACAGCUGUGUUAGAAUGUGUGCUAGUCAGUGGUGUGAAUCCUGCCGAGUUGGCCUCCCCUUGCUGACAGCCGUGACAGAUGUACAGAGAUGGGUCAUGAACAGCCCAUAUGUUAGAAAGAUGCUGUAGCAGGCCCCGGCUUGUUAGAUGCAAAAUAAAUGGUUCCUGACCUGGAUAAAUGAGUUUCAAAUUUGCAGAUGCCAACACGAAUCACAGUCUGUCUAAUUUUUUUUUUUCUAGCAGAAGUUAUGUAUGGAAUGGUCUGUAUGCAAACCCUACCAGGUAUCCUAAGCUGUCCCCAGGCCCCUAGGCCACCAGUAUGACCUGAGGCUUCCAUGGGUGCCCUCUCUCAAUGGGAGGUAUGGCAGAACUGACUAAGGGGACAGGAAUGUCACUGUCCUUUGUCCCAGUCCUAUAUAGGAGGGCGAGAAGCUGUGCCCCCUCCUCCACUGAACACAGUUGCCCUGAGAAACGGACCGGCCAAAGGAAGAUGCUUUGUGUUCUCUUCUACUUUUGUUUGGGUUUUAUUGUUUUCUGUUUGAGACAGGAUCUCCUGUAGCCUAGGCCAGCCUUGAACUUGCUUCGUAGCUGGGGUGACUUUGAACUUCUGACCCCUGCCUCCACCUCCCAUAUGCUGGAAUUAUAAUUACGUGCCACCAGCUUAUGUGGGGCAUGCUCGUCCCACCCAGGGCUGCGUGCGUGCUAGGCUAGCACUCUAGCAGCUUGAGGUACAGUUCCCUGUAACUCCUAGCAGGCCUGGACCUCUCUGACUGUGUAGUCAAGGGUGACUUUGGACUCCUGGUCCUUUGGCAUCUACCUACCAAAUACUAGGAUUACAGAUGUAUCAUCAUGCCUCAUUAGAAGGCAUCUUAAAAUUCUGGGUGUCUGAAGGUGUCAUCUCAGACGACCCCUUUUUUUUUUUUUUUUUUCUGCAGUUAAAAGUUAACAUCAUCAUGGGAUUUCUGAAUGUGAAAUUCACGGGGUGAGAUACAGCCCUUCCACCCUUUUUUUUUUUUCUUCCAUUUUUUAUUAGGUAUUUAGCUCAUUUACAUUUCCAAUGCUAUACCAAAAGUCCCCCAUACCCACCCACCCCCACUCCCCUACCCACCCACUCCCCCUUUUUGGCCCUGGCGUUCCCCUGUACUGGGGCAUACAAAGUUUGUGUUUGCAAUGGGCCUCUCUUUCCAGUGAUGGCCGACUAGGCCAUCUUUUGAUACAUAUGCAGCUAGAGUCAAGAGCUCCGGGGUACUGGUUAGUUCAUAAUGUUGUUCCACCUAUAGGGUUGCAGAUCCCUUUAGCUCCUUGGGUUCUUUCUCUAGCUCCUCCAUUGGUAGCCCUGUGAUCCAUCCAUUAGCUGGCUGUGAGCAUCCACUUCUGUGUUUGCUAGGCCCCGGCAUAGUCUCACAAGAGAUAGCUACAUCUGGGUCCUUUCGAUAAAAUCUUGCUAGGGUAUGCAAUGGUGUCAGCGUUUGGAUGCUGAUUAUGGGGUGGAUCCCUGGAUAUGGCAGUCUCUACAUUGUCCAUCCUUUCAUCUCAGCUCCAAACUUUGUCUCUGUAACUCCUUCCAUGGGUGUUUUGUUCCCAAUUCUAAGGAGGGGCAUAGUAUCCACACUUCAGUCUUCAUUCUUCUUAAAUCAAUACGGUCUGCCCAGUGACAGAGCCAGCUGUAAACAACGGGGCCGCGGGAGGGGCUUGGUUAGUCUUUUCAAAGCCAGUGGUGUUUAUGAACACACACAGACAGACAGCAAAGAAUAUCCCUAAGUGGCAUAACAAAACAAAACAAAACAACACAACAGGAUUGGGUUACUACUUUCCUAUAACAAGAGUUCCUGAAAAACCUUGGAAUUUGCCCUCUUCUGUAUGUUAAUGAAGGGCCCAUGUGAUUGGAAAAUUGGAACUUUGAACCCUUCUUUGAUCUCCAGACAAGAGAAAGCGCCUCCCCUUAGAUCAAGUGUAGUCACCAGUGAUCUGCCCAGUCCUAACGAGUAACGAGAAGAACAUUAAAACCCGUUAACAAGGUUCUAGAAGUUGGUGACCAUCCACAUGCCAAGAGAGCGUGAACUCCUAGGUGUUUGGGGAGAGACUCAUGUGCUGAUGACCUACCAAGCCCUUACCUCCUUUGUUUGAUUGCCUCUUUAUUUGCAUUCUAUAUAAUAAACUCUAUUGUAGUGAGAAGUUUCCUGAGCUUACAAGUUCUAGAAAAUGAUCAAACAAUAGGGAAAGGGGUCAUGGGAACCCCCAGAUUUACAGGCGCUGGGCAGAAAAUGCAUAGCCUUGACAUCUCAUUUGUGGUUGGCAUUUGGGACCGACUUGUGGGACCAAGCCCUUAUCGUGUGGGUGGUUAGGGUCAGAAUUGAAUCAGAUGGUUGGAUAUCCGGUUGGUGUCGGGGAGAACUGGUUAGUUUGGAGAAAACCCACAUACACCUCAGUUUUGUCUAACUCAUUCCUUAAAUAUUACAUCCUUCCAGGGGACUCUGUGAUAUGUAAACAUACCUAAAUUUAAACUUAGUUCGACUGACAAGCCCUCUGCCUCUUUUGACCCUAUUUCUGCAUCUAUGAAGGGGUGCACUGAAUAAUCUCUAGGUAGAGUUUGGUUUUGUGGUUUGGGUUUCUGAUUUUUGGUUUUUGUUUGAGAGACAGGGUCCUAAGUAGGCUGCUCAUGCUAACCCUGGAUAUUGGGUUCCAGUCAUCUUUCCUCAGCUCCUCAGAUGAGACUACAUGUGUAUCCCGGCCAUUCAGCCCAUCUUGGAAGUGAGCGUAUGUGCAACCAGAAGAGAAAUGUAUUUGAGAAAAUGACAUCUCCUUUUACCCUUACCAUUCUAAAUAAUCCAUGUUCUUAAACUCCUACCACAUCAGCAAAACCACAGUGAGUUGAACCAGCCAUCCCUGGUCCCUCCUACCUCCGCUGAGACUUAUCCUCAAGAUGAUCUGGCCCUUUCCUAAAUCCUUGGAGGUCCAGCAGAGAGCUAAGCGGAAACCUCCUUAGUUCUCAGGACCCUAAAGAAGCGGCUAAAGUCAGGGCCGGGAAGCAGGCAAGUGAUAUGAGCAGCAAAACUGACACUCCCAACCAGCACAGCUGACGAAGAAACAACACUCUGCUGCCAGGGUGGCAACAGUUGGUAAGACCAACGUGUGUGCCCCAGCUAAGCUGAGUGCGGAGUCUGUCUGCUACGUUGCCCUGCAUUUGGAGAGUGACCCAACCACCAGAUGCCGACCACCCCUAUCAAAUGAGCAGUCCAUGGGUUCCACUCCUGACUGGUGUAGGACCAGCCUGAGGUUGCCUGCCAUUUCUCCUCCUGAUGCCCAAGGUGACGUUUACCCUAUUGCUUUGCUAUUCUGAUUAUAGGAGGAAUCUCUUCAUUGAAACUUUGAAGACAAGGGUCUGGGGGUGGAGUCUGUUAAGACACAUACUUAGUGUUCUUGAAGUUCUAGAUUGAAUCCCCAGCAACCCCUCCCGUGCCCAAGAGAGACUGAAAACAAAAAUUAAAGAAUAUAAAUCUCACAUUAUCUUGUAACAACAAAAAGCCUAUAGACUUUAGGACAUUUUUUUCCAGUGUUUUCCAUAUCUUUUAAUAUAAUUGGGGUCUGCUGUCCUUACUUGACAUAAUACAGGCAGCACCAAUCACAUGUGGCUAUUUACAUUUUUUAUUUAUUUUAUUUUGAGUUUCAGUUUUGUUGUUGUUGUUGUUGUAUUUGGUUUUCUUGUUGUUGUUUUUCAAGACAGGGUUUCUCUGUAUAGCCCUGGCUGUUCUGGAACUCACUCCAUAGACCAGACCGGCCUCAAACUCAGAAAUCUGCCUGCCUCUGCCUCCCAAGUGCUGGGAUUAAAGGUGAGCGACACCACUGCCCAGCCCUUAUUUUAAAAAUUUAAGAUUAGGUGGCAGGAGAGAUAGCUCAGUGAUUAAGAGCACUGACUGCUCUUCCAAAGGUCCUGAGUUCAAUUCCUAGCACCCACACCGUAGCUCACAACCAUCUGUAUUGUGUCUGAAGACAAUGAUGGUGUACUCACAUACAUUAAAAAUUUAAGAUUAAAAAAUGCAUCAUUGGUGGUAUAUCUCCAUGGUACAGCAUUGGCCUAGCUUUUAUUUGUAAGGACGGCUCUGGGUUCAGUUCCCAACAUACACACCACAGACCCCCCACCCCCAACACACACACACACAAAUGGAAGUUUGCAAUUCCUUAAAAGCACUUUUGAAGCCAGAGACUGAAAACGCCUGGUGGUCACAUGUACUCUGUGUCUGUGUGGGAGCCAUUGCUGUCACUAAGGAAUUCUGUCAGACUGUACCAACACAUGCCAUUUUGACAGUCUUGGUUAUUUAUUUAUUUAUUUAUUUAUUUAUUUAUUUAUUUAUUUUUUCCGAGACAGGGUUUCUCUAUAUAGCCCUGGCUGUCCUGGAACUCACUUUGUAGACCAGGCUGGUCUCAAACUCAGAAAUCUGCCUGCCUCUGCCUCCCAAGUGCUGGGAUUAAAGGUCUGCGCCGGUGGUUUUUUAUUUUUAUUUUUGUUUUUUCAAGACGGUUUCUCUAUGUAACAGCCCUGGCUGUCCUGAAACUCACUCUGUAGACCAGGCUGGUCUUGAACUCUCAGAGGUCUGCCUGCCUCUGCCUCCCAAGUGCUGGGACUAAAGGCAUGUGGAACCAUGCCCGCCCAACAUUCUUGUUUUUAUGUGGAGCUGGGGAUCCACCAGGUAUGCUAAGCAAGCAUUGUACCCGGAGCCACAUCUCUAACUCUCAGGUUUUGAGACAAGGUCUCACUAUAUAGUAGAGCCCAGGCUGGCCUCAAAUCUCUGAUGAAAACUCCAUUUUUAAGGACUACAUAUGGUAAUUUAUUUUAUUGAUCUUCUAGUCUUAACCAUUUAGGUAACAUGUUUUUGUUGUUGUUGUUGUUGUGGGGUUUUUUUUUGUGUUUUUUUGUUUUGUUUUUUUUUGUUGUUGUUUUUGUUUUUUUCUAGACAGGGUUUCUCUGUGUAGCCCUGGCUGUCCUGGAACUCACUUUGUAGACCAGGCUGGCCUCGAACUCAGAAAUCCACCUGCCUCUGCCUCCCGAGUGCUGGGAUUAAAGGCAUGUGCCACCACGCCCGGCUACAUGUUUUAUUUUUAAUAAUGUUGUAUGGAACUGUCUUGUCAGCUCCUUAUCUGCCCACCUAGUUAUUUCUAGGUGGCUUUUACAGGGUGGUAUUUAGUCAGGGAAGGGAUGUAUUUUCAAGGCUUUGAAUAGAAUGCCCAGUUCUUUCAGAGAAGGGCCCCACCCCACCCCCUACCCCGACCCCCCCCUCUCUCUCAGCAUACAUGACCCUCACUGUGUAUGUCAACCCUCUAAUACAAAAAACAAAAACAAAAAAACCUGUCUGCCUGCCUCCGAGCGUACAUCCAGCGACUUGGGUAAGCCCUGCAAUGAUCUAGGAAGAUAAAGGCCACCCCAGCAGCAGGCUAGACUGUCCGGCUUGGAGUUCCAGAAACUUCUGCUGCACCAGCUCAGGUCUGCGUCUUUUGACCAGCGUGGGGUUCUUUACCAGCUUGGGUGUGUGGCCCGUUGCCCAGAUCACACCCCAGGACAGGCAGAGCCAGACUUGACCCAGCCUUUCCUAUAAGGUUCAGCUUUCCUAAGCAAACACACUCAGGCCACUGGCCUCUGGGAGGAAAGCCACUACCUAAACUGACUUUCUGCCCAGGGAGGACCCCCAAAUUCUUACACUCCCGAAGCUCCUAUUGCAAGGCUGCCUACUCAGGAAACCCCUGCCACUUCCAGCAGGCCAAGCGGAAAGCACGGGCAUCUCUGGUUCCUUCAUCAGGAUCUAUCGCCUCGUCUCUAGACCCCACAUUAAUAAAGCCAGUCGCCACCCCAGAGAUGCAGGAUGCCCUCUAGAACCAGCACCCUGGGAAACGUGUAGCUUUCUAGGAUCUUUCCUGGACAUCCCCUUGGUUAAACUUUGAGUGUUAUUUGAAGAAGCUGCUAGAGGUCACCCAGGGAUGCCUCUGGUCCUCAUUAACCUCCCUUCAGUUAGCCCAUCAGUAAACACAGGGCAUCCUUCCAGAACACAAGAAGGAGCGCCAACUGCUCUUCUGAAGGUCAUGAAUUCAAAUCCUAGCCACCACAUGAUGGCUCACAAUCAUCCGUAAUGAGACCUGAUGCUCUGUUCUGGUGUGUCUGAAGACAGCUACAGCAAACCAAUUUUACAUAUAAUAAAUAAAUAAAUCUUUAAAAAAAAAAAAAAAGAACACAAGAAGUGGAAAGUUCAUGGGGGCCACAGGGCAGCAUAAACAGAGAAACUGAGUCAAAUACGAUUCUGAUAGUAUUUCCUGCUGUCGUGCCAGCCAUACUCACCGUGUCCUAGUGGUUCAGAGUAAAGCAGACACUGACCUGGGCCACCGUGUCCCUUAUUAUCACAGAGCACAUCAAGGAUGGAGCCCCAUGCACUGGUGACAGACCUGGGUGAUUUAUGAAAAACUCGUCUGACAGAAGGGAAGAAAAUAGCCUUUGAAAGUAAGAUGCCAUGCAGGAGUUCACAGAGAGACCAAAACCCAGGCCAGCCCCACCCCAUCCUGCCCUGAUAGUGGAGGUCAAGGCUGACAAGCACCACUGGUUCUUGCCAAAAUACAGACCUUGCUCUCUACAUCAAGUUCCUUCCUGUUUUCACAAAGCAGUCUCAUUACUUGGGAGGAUCAAAACUUUCCCAGUACCCUACCCCCUUCCUAGGGAAGACCCUUGGCCUUGGACAGGAUCACAGAGCCUCUGAAGGAGGUGCCGGGUGAUCUGCCCUCACUGACAACAUGACACUGUGGCUUGGGGAGGACCAGUGACCCCAAUGUGGCAGCUGCUGCUUGGGGGCCCUUUAAUUAUUUAGAGAAUGUAUACUAUUCAGCUCCUUGGCUCCAUUUCUGAGUUCAGAGAGGCAAUGCCCUGGCGACUGUUUCCAGUGAAGAAUGAAAUUCCUACUUGUCACGGUCACCGAAGGAAACCAAACACGAAUCAGCAGCAGCGGCAGUCUUCUGCUGCAGAAAUGGCACAAGUCCAAGGCAGCGACCAGGACCGGCCGAGGCGACAGAAAAAAGGUCUCUGCCAUGCCUCUCUCAACAAAGUAAAGAUCAUCGAAGAUGAAGACACGAGGCCAAUGAAGCGUCGUGACGCAGGCUACGCAAGCACACUGCCGCUGUCAAUACUCUCCAGACAUCACGUGUCCUCCCACGUGUCUCGCCUCAGCAAAACACCAUAAAGCUGUCUGCAUAGUUUCCUGCCAUGCUGCUCUGUGCUCAGAUUCCGAGGUUCGGUGUUCCCAUUGUUGGAACAUGGUCCACGAAGCUGUGUGAGGUUUCUGAGACCCUGUGAGAAAACUCCAAGUACAAGACAAGAGUCCUGUGGUCUCUGCUCCUUCACAGCAUGGGGUUUUCUUGGAAUGCGUUUUUGUGUUCUUCCCAGGUGUAGGGGACAGGAGUGAAUUUACUUCGACUGUUGUUAUUAAGAUUCCUCUAUGGAAAAAAAAAAAAAACAUGUUUUUGUCACUUGUGGCUUGUUCUUCCGGAUUUUACACUCUACUCUCUUGGGUGACUCUUCUUUUUUGUUUUUGUUUUUUGUUUGUUUGUUUGUUUUUUGUUUUUCGAGACAGUAUUUCUCUGUGCAGCCCUGGCUGUCCUGGAACUCACUCUGUAGACCAGGCUGGCCUCGAACUCAGAAGUCCACCUGCCUCUGCCUCCCGAGUGCUGGGAUUAAAGGUUGGGUGACUCUUCUUAGCCCUCAGUAAUAUAGAUGGUCUGAUGCUCUCAAUAAAGUUGGCUGUUGCUUGA